UACGUAGGGUACAAGCGUUGUCCGGAAUUAUUGGGCGUAAAGAGCUCGUAGGCGGUCUGUCGCGUCGGAUGUGAAAAUCCAGGGCUCAACCCUGGACCUGCAUUCGAUACGGGCAGACUAGAGUUCGGUAGGGGAGACUGGAAUUCCUGGUGUAGCGGUGAAAUGCGCAGAUAUCAGGAGGAACACCGGUGGCGAAGGCGGGUCUCUGGGCCGAAACUGACGCUGAGGAGCGAAAGCGUGGGGAGCGAACAGG
rnacentral:rRNA from 1 species